rnacentral:rRNA from 1 species
AGAGUUUGAUCAUGGCUCAGGACGAACGCUGGCGGCGUGCUUAAUACAUGCAAGUCGAGCGAGGUUACUGUUUUGGAUCCCUUCGGGGUGAAGAAGCUUUAACCUAGCGGCGGACGGGUGAGUAACGCGUGGGUAACCUACCCCAAAGUCCGGGAUAACAGCGGGAAACCGCUGCUAAUACCGGAUGCCUUUACCUUGGGGCAUCUUGAGGUAAAGAAAGGCAACGCUUUGGGAUGGGCCCGCGUCCCAUUAGCUAGUUGGUGAGGUAACGGCUCACCAAGGCGACGAUGGGUAGCCGGCCUGAGAGGGUGGACGGCCACACUGGGACUGAGACACGGCCCAGACUCCUACGGGAGGCAGCAGUAGGGAAUAUUGCGCAAUGGACGGAAGUCUGACGCAGCGACGCCGCGUGAGCGAUGAAGGUCUUCGGAUCGUAAAGCUCUGUCCUUGGGGAAGAAGGUCUUCAGACUUGACGGUACCCAAGAAGAAAGCCCCGGCUAACUACGUGCCAGCAGCCGCGGUAAUACGUAGGGGGCGAGCGUUGUCCGGAAUUACUGGGCGUAAAGGGUGCGUAGGCGGCCCUUUAAGUCGGAUGUGAAAGCCCGCGGCUUAACCGCGGAAUGGCAUUCGAAACUGGAGGGCUUGAGUGUCGGAGAGGGUAGUGGAAUUCCCAGUGUAGCGGUGAAAUGCGUAGAUAUUGGGAGGAACACCAGUGGCGAAGGCGACUACCUGGACGAUAACUGACGCUGAGGCACGAAAGCUAGGGGAGCAAACAGGAUUAGAUACCCUGGUAGUCCUAGCCGUAAACGAUGGGUACUAGGUGUGGGUGGUUUCGAUACCAUCCGUGCCGUAGUUAACGCAUUAAGUACCCCGCCUGGGGAGUACGUGCGCAAGCAUGAAACUCAAAUGAAUUGACGG